rnacentral:rRNA from 1 species
GACGAACGCUGGCGGUGUGCUUAACACAUGCAAGUCGAACGGGAUCCAUGUUGUAGCAAUACUUCGGAAGAUCUAGUGGCGAACGGGUGAGGAACACGUGAGAAACCUGCCCCGAACUUCGGGAUAACAGUUGGAAACGAUUGCUAAUACCGAAUACCUCUGCGAAGUGGCAUCACUUUGCAAAGAAAGAAUUUCGGUUCGGGAGGGUCUCGCGGCCUAUCAGCUAGUUGGUGGGGUAACGGCCUACCAAGGCAUCGACGGGUAGCUGGUCCGAGAGGAUGAUCAGCCACACUGGGACUGAGACACGGCCCAGACUCCUACGGGAGGCAGCAGUGGGGAAUCUUGUGCAAUGGGCGAAAGCCUGACACAGCAACGCCGCGUGCGGGAAGAAGGCCUUCGGGUCGUAAACCGCUUUCAGCAGGAACGAAAAUGACGGUACCUGCAGAAGAAGGUGCGGCCAACUACGUGCCAGCAGCAGCCGCGG